GUAGGUGACUGCGGAGGAUCAUUACAGAAUCGAGGCUGACGGUGCCUACUCCCUAGGCUCCGUCUAGUCCCGCUCUCUACCUUGCCUACUGCACCGUUUGUUGCUUCCUGGCGGCGUCCCGUCGCCAGGGCCUUUUGAAAGCCAAGUAUAAGCAUUGAAACUUCUGACAUACACUAAAUCGUACAACUUUCAACAAUGGAUCUCUUGGUUCUGGCAUCGAUGAAGAACGCAGCGAAAUGCGAUAAGUAGUGUGAAUUGCAGAAUUCAGUGAAUCAUCGAAUCUUUGAACGCACAUUGCGCCCCUUGGUAUUCCAUGGGGCAUGCCUGUUCGAGCGUCAUCUAAACCCUCAAGCCCCAUGGCUUGGUGUUGGGUGUCUGUCCCUGCUCCCCGCGCGGACUCGCCCCAAAUGCAUUGGCAGCGGCCUCCACGCUUCUCGCGCAGCACAUUGCGUAGUGGAGCACGGCUAGGCACGCGUCCAGCAAGCAACCCCCCAAGUUUGACCUCGGAUCAGGUAGGGAUACCCGCUGAACUUAAGCAUAUCAAUAAGCGGAGGA
rnacentral:rRNA from 1 species